GGGGGGUGGCGGAGGAGGAGGAGGUGGUGGAGGAGCAGGAGGAGGAAUUUUGGGUAGACCUGUGGUAUCAGGAUUUGGACUGGAUGAUCCUAAUGGAUCCCUUCCAACUGGGGAUAUUCUAUGAUUCUAUGAGAAGGAUUCAAAGAAUCAUUAUUGUCAAAAGAGACGUUUAAGAUCAUCCUUCUACGAGGUGGUGGAGGAGGAGGAGGUAUCGGCCGUGGUGUUGGUGGGGGAGGAGGAGGUGGAGGAAUUUUUGGUAGACCUGUGGUAUCAGGAUUUGGACUGGAUGACCCUAAUGGAUCCCUUCCAAUUGGGGAUAUUCUAUGACUGUAUGAGGAGGAUUCAUAGAAUCCUUAUUGUUGGAAGAGACCUUUAAGAUCAUCCUUCUACGAGGUGGUGGAGGAGGAGGAGGAGGAGGAGGAUGUGGCGGAGGAGGAGCAAUUUUGGCUAGACCUGUGGUAUCAGUAUUUUGACUUGAUGAUCCUAAUAUAUCUCUUCCAAGUGGGGAUAUUCUAUGAGGAGGAUGAGGAUUCAUAGAAUCCUUAUUGUUGGAAGAAUCCUUUAAGAUCAUCCGUCUACGAGGAGGUGGCGGAGGAGGAGGCGGUGGAGGAGGAGGGGGUAGAGGUGGUGAAG